rnacentral:piRNA from 1 species
UGCUUACAAGGGGCACGAGCGUCUCGGAGC